GUGAGGAAUUUUCCGCAAUGGGCGAAAGCCUGACGGAGCAAUGCCGCGUGAAGGAUUAAGGCCUAUGGGUAGUAAACUUCUUUUCUUAGAGAAGAAUAUUGACGGUAUCUGAGGAAUAAGCAUCGGCUAACUCUGUGCCAGCAGCCGCGGUAAGACAGAGGAUGCAAGCGUUAUCCGGAAUGAUUGGGCGUAAAGCGUCUGUAGGUGGCUUCAAAAGUCUCCUGUCAAAGAGCAGUGCUUAACCCUGGGCCGGCAGGAGAAACUCUGAGGCUAGAGUUUGGUAGGAGCAGAGGGAAUUCCCGGUGGAGCAGUGAAAUGCGUAGAGAUCGAGAGGAACACCAAAGGCGCAAGCACUCUGCUGGGCCACAACUGACACUGAGAGACGAAAGCGAGGGGAGCAAAAGGGAUUAGAUACCCCAGUAGUCC
rnacentral:rRNA from 1 species